UUGCUUCUCUGAUGUUAGCGGCGGACGGGUGAGUAACACGUGGAUAACCUACCUAUAAGACUGGGAUAACUUCGGGAAACCGGAGCUAAUACCGGAUAAUAUUUUGAACCGCAUGGUUCAAAAGUGAAAGACGGUCUUGCUGUCACUUAUAGAUGGAUCCGCGCUGCAUUAGCUAGUUGGUAAGGUAACGGCUUACCAAGGCAACGAUGCAUAGCCGACCUGAGAGGGUGAUCGGCCACACUGGAACUGAGACACGGUCCAGACUCCUACGGGAGGCAGCAGUAGGGAAUCUUCCGCAAUGGGCGAAAGCCUGACGGAGCAACGCCGCGUGAGUGAUGAAGGUCUUCGGAUCGUAAAACUCUGUUAUUAGGGAAGAACAUAUGUGUAAGUAACUGUGCACAUCUUGACGGUACCUAAUCAGAAAGCCACGGCUAACUACGUGC
rnacentral:rRNA from 1 species